ensembl:piRNA 21ur-2214 ncRNA
UUAAGUGAUCGUUACACUCAA